rnacentral:lncRNA from 1 species
UUUUAGACAAGUUUUCCAAUGACCGGUUAAGGUUGGCCGAACUAUCUUCUAGGGCUUUCAACCUCCUAUCUUGGUUGUUAUAAUGGGGGGACUCCAUCUCCUUUUAACCCUCUGUUUUAGGACUCUAAAACCUUGAGACAACAGCCCCUCAAACUCCCAAAAAUCAGAACUCAACAAUCUUUAAAACUUGCUGCACAAAAAUUUCUGGGUUGCUGAAAAUUUCUACGGCAGUCCACAAACUUCAGCAGCCAGUUUCACCUUCAAGGCAGACUCAAAUCACCCCACAAAGAGACUUAUAACAGUAACUAAUAACCUCAGAAACUCUCCACAAAAAAUCAGAAUUAAAGUUUCAGAAAACCCUGUUCUUAACACCCCAAACAAACACCUUGUUGCAGAAUUUUUUCUGCAA